UGACAGGUCAUGAAAUAAAAUGAAUUAACCUGGUUAAUGAAGGAAUGAUUGACUACUGUGGUGUGAGCAGCUGAAGGACAGACAAGGAAAUAAAGUCCAACAGACUGGGAAAAGGGCCAAGGAAAUUUAAAAGAGAAAACCAGAAAACAAGACAAGUAAACGAAAAGGCCAAAACCCAUUUAGGAAUUCAUGAUGCCAAAGCAAGCAGCAGUGCUAGUGGCACAGCUGGCACACAGCAGAUAACAAGAUGCCAGCAGUGGUAAGGCACUGAGGAGCCAGCACUCGUCUGCAGGCAGCAGGCACCCUGCUACAGUCAGAUUUGUUCAUUUCAAGACUUUCAGCAGGACUACGGACUAUUUUCAAGUUACCUGAACAAUCACUAUCUGUAACAAGAUGCUGCCAGGUAAUAUCUAUACCUUUCUACCAGCAUGGUGGGGAAAUAUAUUAUCCUGACAUAGGCGUGUGUUUAGGCUCCACUAUCUCCUGCCCUUAGGUCUAAAACUAUAGUCCAAAAGGCAGAUAUUCUCAAUUUUCAGUUCAAUUACACUAAUUUGUUUUCAGUCUUAUCCAGUAAGUUCAAAAACACUGGUUUGUGCUUGUUACAUAUUGGCAAUUAUCCUCAGUUUAAUUACACCUUUCCAUUGAUUUCAAUGGCCUUUAGAUCAGGCCUUCACAAUGCAGGGUAUGUAGAUUAUUAUUUCUGCAUAUUACCCCCAUCAGUGAAGUAUGAUUAUAAUGUUAUGUGAAUGCUUUACUGAGGAAAGAGUCAUAAUAAAAUGAAUGUGAUUUAUUAAAUAAAGUCUCUGUCCUGUUGCAAUAGGAAUCUGAGGGGUUAUAUCUAAAGCACGUGUAACUACUCAGGUGUUAAGGCUGGAAAAACUCCUGCCCUACAGCUGCAGAAAUGUAGGAUUUUUGGUGUUAAUGAAAUUCCCAGAUGAAACGAUUGGACGUAUUUUCCAGGCAACUGUUAGUUCAUCUACAUCAGAUAAGAACCCAUAUACUGAGUGGUCCUGAUCAGGGACUGACCUGCUACCUUGAAUCAUGCUACUGCU